rnacentral:rRNA from 1 species
GACGAACGCUGGCGGCGUGCUUAGCACAUGCAAGUCGAACGGAAAGGCCCUGCUUUUGUGGGGUGCUCGAGUGGCGAACGGGUGAGUAACACGUGAGUAACCUGCCCUUGACUUUGGGAUAACUUCAGGAAACUGGGGCUAAUACCGGAUAGGAGCUCCUGCUGCAUGGUGGGGGUUGGAAAGUUUCGGCGGUUGGGGAUGGACUCGCGGCUUAUCAGCUUGUUGGUGGGGUAGUGGCUUACCAAGGCUUUGACGGGUAGCCGGCCUGAGAGGGCGACCGGCCACAUUGGGACUGAGAUACGGCCCAGACUCCUACGGGAGGCAGCAGUGGGGAAUAUUGCACAAUGGGCGGAAGCCUGAUGCAGCAACGCCGCGUGCGGGAUGACGGCCUUCGGGUUGUAAACCGCUUUCGCCUGUGACGAAGCGUGAGUGACGGUAAUGGGUAAAGAAGCACCGGCUAACUACGUG